ACAACUAUCAAUUCAGUUUAGAUUUUCAUUGUAACCAUAAAAAGUUUUUUUUGGUAUAUUUUGAAGUAAUUUAUUUGGCACUUAUUAUUUUGGUUUAACACUUUUCUAGCAUUUGAUAUUGCCUGUUGCUAUAAACGUUCAAUUAUAGGUGCCAUACCUAUAUCCAUAUAAAACAGCUGAUUGAACCAAAUUUAAGGGUAUUUCCAAUUAGUGGUGAGUUACCAUAACAACAUGCCCAUAACCAUAACCACAACUAUCAAUUUCGUUUACCCCUACAACACGAAGCUAACUCAUACACCACUACACAUGCCAAUUUUUUCAGCUUUUACCAAUACAGACACAUUGCUAACAUUUUGUAGUUAAGUGGCAAUCUCGGUAGUUAGAGUAGCAAAAUUCAUUAACCCUAAUUUUUGUAUGUGUAAGAGAGAGAUACAAUGAACCGUUCAAAAAUCGCCGCCAUGGCCGCUGUUCAUUUGAAAAUACAAUUUUAAGUGAAUGGAUUUAUACGUGUUUGCACAGGAAAGGAAGAGCAAGGAGGUGACGUUGGAAUUGGUGGAGGUUUUUGGAUUUAGCACUGGUGCAAUAUACAGCCCUAUUCUGAAAAAACCUCAUAACUGAGUUGUGAGGAAAAAUUUGUGAGUUUUCUUGUGACGUAUAUUUUGUGAGUCUAUUCUGGCUCGAACCUCAUAAGAAAAAAGCUUAGAAAAGUCACCAAUUGAGGUGAAAAGCAUUUUGCUGUCAAACAGUUGUUUCAAAAGAAAUAAAUUCAAAAUAAAUACAAAUUGAUGUAAAAUUUGUAAACAAAUGAAGCAAAUGAAAUUGCGUAUUUACAGUCGAAAGUUAAAAAACAAAAGAAUUAUAAAACAAGUAAGGAAGAUAUGGUUUUUGACCCAUAAGUGGGCGGAACCACGCCCCUUUACAAUUUUGUAUACCAUUUUGAGAGCAGCUCUUCUGAACCAUCUUCACAAUGAAAUUUAAGGUUUCUGGUGGUUUUCUUUACUGAACUUACUGAAUUUUUAGUAAUUUUCAAUAUAACCUUUGUAUGGGAGGUGGGCGUGAUUAUGACCCGAUUUCCUUCAUUUUUGGUCGGUAUAAGGUAGUACCUAAAAGAAACGACUCUAGAAAGUUUCCUUUAUAUAGCUUAAUUAGUUUGCGAGAUAUGUACAAAAAACUUAGUAGUGGGCGGGGCCACGCCCAAUUCCCCAAAAAAAUUACAUCCAAAUAUGCCCCUUCCUAGAACAAUCCUUUGUACCAAAUUUUCGGUUAUCGCCAUUUUGUGGGCGUGGCAGUGGUCCGAUUACGCACAUUUUCGAACUUAACCUUCUUAUGGUGCCAAGAAAUACGUCUUCCAAGUUUCAUCAAGAUAUCUCUAUUUUACUCAAGAUACGGCUUGCACGGACGGACAGACGGACGGACGGACAGACAGACAUCCGGAUUUGAACUUUACUCGUCACCCUGAUCACUUUGGUAUAUAUAAUAAUCUUAUAUCUAACUCGUUUAGUUUUGGGACUUACAAACAACCGUUAUGUGGACAAAACUAUAAUACUCUCGUAGCAACUUUGUUGCGAGAGUAUAAAAAUAACCAGGGUGUAAAUCAUCGUCUGUAGAGGCUGUGCAUCAGUGUCCUUUGCUUUACAAAAAUAAUGCGUCCUUAUCGGAUCGUAGAUGUGGUUGGCAGCAAAUCGCUCAACAAAUGAAAAUGCAAGGUACGUCCGUAUUGCUCCAGAUUCGGUUAAACACAAUUAUUCGAUAACUGAACUUUUAUAGAGGCCAUUUUUUUCAAAGAACAAUUCCUCCAUGCUCGUUAUAGCACGCAAAUAUUUACACAUUUGUUUACAAAUAUUGCUAAAAACCAAAACAAACAGAAAUAUUUUUGUAUUGUGAAGGCUGCUUUCACACGUCACAGAUAUUUGAGAAAAUUGUGAGCAUUUGAGCUUUUGAAUUUUCUCCAGCAUAAGGUAAUCAUCACAAAAUCCAAAAACCUCACAAUAGUGAGUGUGGUGAUUUUUGUGAGGUCAUGAGAAUAGGGCUGAUAGUAUAACAACAACGCAGAAACAAGGGAUAAUAAUAUGAUAUUGAAAACACAAAGGCGUUAGGCGUCAAUUGGUCCUUCCAUCGGAGUGGAGGUCUCCCUCUUCCUCGGCUUCCACCGAGUCCAUUCGAACAACAUGACCAAGGCCGCGUAGCCGCUGUCUUUUUUCGUUGGACUAUGUCUAUGUCGUCUAACAACACAUACAGCUCAUCAUUUCAUCUGCUGCGGUAUUCGCAGAAGAGUUUAGUUUUUGCUCAUCUAGAGAGGACUUUACUUUUCAAUUGCCUACUCAGACCAUAAACACAAAUACAGGUGGAUUACAAUAGCUACUACUUUUCUUAGGCAUGAUAAACAAGACAACAACAAAAUCCCAUCGGACAUUUAGAUUAGCAGUUGCACAACUUCUUUCCGAAGAGCUGAACCUUUUUGUGAUGUACAUGUGGGAUAGGAUUGUAUGGAAUUGACAUUCAUUAGUUUCGUUGGAUCCUUACAGGAUAGUUACAAGGAAAUCGUUCGCGUUUAGUAUUAAUUUAUUCAUUUGCUAAUUCAUAAUUUAGAUGUAAAAUAUUAUUAAAUUAUACAAAUGAAUGUUCGAAUACUAAUAACAUUUUAUUUGAAUUGUAUAACAACAACUACAAAAAAUAGUGUAAUACUUAAUACUAAAUUUAUAUAUGAAAUAUGUAAAAAGUAAAAAUUUAAUAAUUAAUACUAACUUUGUAAAUUUUGUUAAUGUAUAAAUAAAAAUGUAUAA